GAAUCCGCYAAGGAGUGUGUAACAACUCACCUGCCGAAUGGACUAGCCCUGAAAAUGGAUGGCGCUGAAGCGGGUGGCCGAGACCACACCGUUUGACGAAUUGGCAACUCGUCGAAUGAGUAGGAGGGCGUGGCGGCCGUGGAGAAGCCGGUGGGCAAUCACUGGUGGAACGGCCGCGAGUGCAGAUCUUGGUGGUAGUAGCAAAUAUUCAAGUGAGUGAACAAACCUUGAAGGGUGAAGCGGGGAAGGGUUUUAUGUGAACAUUGAUUGGGCAUAAGUGAGUCGUUCCUAAGCUGCUGGUUUAUUCUCUCGGGAAUUUUUCUGGCGAAAGGGAAGCAGGUUGACAUUCCUGCACACGGAUGUGGAGGCGGUGACGCCGUUUGAGACAAACACGUUGGCGACAGCUCUGGGCAGAGUUAUCUUUUCUGUUUGACGUCAGGGUGCGCUGUGUGGAAUCCGCUUGUCGGGAGAAACACGCGUGCCCGGGCAGAGCGCCGGACUUUUCCGGCGUCCAGAUCGCUGUCGACAGCCCUUGAAACUUUGUCUGCUGAAGUGAACAAUCCACGCCGUGACGUACCGAUAACCGCAUCAGGUCCCCAAGGUGAACAGCCUCUACUCAAUAUGAACAAUGCAGGUAAGGGAAGUCGGCAA
rnacentral:rRNA from 1 species